rnacentral:rRNA from 1 species
UGGGGAAUAUUGCACAAUGGGGGAAACCCUGAUGCAGCGACGCCGCGUGAGCGAAGAAGUAUUUCGGUAUGUAAAGCUCUAUCAGCAGGGAAGAAAAUGACGGUACCUGACUAAGAAGCUCCGGCUAAAUACGUGCCAGCAGCCGCGGUAAUACGUAUGGAGCAAGCGUUAUCCGGAUUUACUGGGUGUAAAGGGAGCGUAGACGGCGCUGCAAGUCUGAUGUGAAAGGCCGGGGCUCAACCCCGGGACUGCAUUGGAAACUGUGGAGCUUGAGUGCCGGAGAGGUAAGCGGAAUUCCUAGUGUAGCGGUGAAAUGCGUAGAUAUUAGGAGGAACACCAGUGGCGAAGGCGGCUUACUGGACGGUAACUGACGUUGAGGCUCGAAAGCGUGGGGAGCAAACA